GUGACGGAAUCAUUCUCUCUCGCGCUCUCCAAAAUCGCAGAUUUGCUCUCCCUGAAUGCCUCACCAGUAUUCAGGUUACUUGUGGCAAUCUUUCACCGGAGGAGCGAGGGAAUUAGCGAUGGUGGUCGGAGAUUAGUGGCCUGGAUCUUGUAGUUGACAUAUAUGCAAGAAUCUCGAUCGUUAGUAUAUGCCAAUGCCAAGCAUGUGAUGGCUAAUCUCCUAUGGAAAGACGAACCCUCUGAAAGAUUUUCAUAGAACCUGCUCUUUUAGUAUGUGUUG